UGGCGGCAGGCCUAACACAUGCAAGUCGAGCGGUAGAGAGGAGCUUGCUCCUUGAUUCAGCGGCGGACGGGUGAGUAAUGCCUAGGAAUCUGCCUGGUAGUGGGGGACAACGUUUCGAAAGGAACGCUAAUACCGCAUACGUCCUACGGGAGAAAGCAGGGGACCUUCGGGCCUUGCGCUAUCAGAUGAGCCUAGGUCGGAUUAGCUAGUUGGUGAGGUAAUGGCUCACCAAGGCGACGAUCCGUAACUGGUCUGAGAGGAUGAUCAGUCACACUGGAACUGAGACACGGUCCAGACUCCUACGGGAGGCAGCAGUGGGGAAUAUUGGACAAUGGGCGAAAGCCUGAUCCAGCCAUGCCGCGUGUGUGAAGAAGGUCUUCGGAUUGUAAAGCACUUUAAGUUGGGAGGAAGGGCAGUAAAUUAAUACGUUGCUGUUUUGACGUUACCGACAGAAUAAGCACCGGCUAACUCUGUGCCAGCAGCCGCGGUAAUACAGAGGGUGCAAGCGUUAAUCGGAAUUACUGGGCGUAAAGCGCGCGUAGGUGGUUCGUUAAGUUGGAUGUGAAAUCCCCGGGCUCAACCUGGGAACUGCAUUCAAAACUGUCGAGCUAAAGUAUGGUAGAGGGUGGUGGAAUUUCCUGUGUAGCGGU
rnacentral:rRNA from 1 species